rnacentral:rRNA from 1 species
UGGGGAAUAUUGGACAAUGGGCGAAAGCCUGAUCCAGCCAUGCCGCGUGAGUGAUGAAGGCCCUAGGGUUGUAAAGCUCUUUCACCGGCGAAGAUAAUGACGGUAGCCGGAGAAGAAGCCCCGGCUAACUUCGUGCCAGCAGCCGCGGUAAUACGAAGGGGGCUAGCGUUGUUCGGAAUUACUGGGCGUAAAGGGCGCGUAGGCGGCGCGGUAAGUCACUUGUGAAAUCUCUGAGCUUAACUCAGAACGGCCAAGUGAUACUGCUGUGCUAGAGUGCGGAAGAGGCAACCGGAAUUCUUGGUGUAGCAGUGAAAUGCGUAGAUAUCAAGAGGAACACCUGAGGCGAAGGCGGGUUGCUGGGCCGACACUGACGCUGAUGCGCGAAAGCCAGGGGAGCAAACG